UACGUAGGGUGCAAGCGUUAAUCGGAAUUACUGGGCGUAAAGCGUGCGCAGGCGGUUUUGUAAGUCAGAUGUGAAAUCCCCGGGCUUAACCUGGGAACUGCGUUUGAAACUACAAGGCUAGAGUGUGACAGAGGGGGGUAGAAUUCCACGUGUAGCAGUGAAAUGCGUAGAGAUGUGGAGGAACACCGAUGGCGAAGGCAGCCCCCCUGGGUCAAGAUUGACGCUCAUGCACGAAAGCGUGGGGAGCAAACAGG
rnacentral:rRNA from 1 species